AUUAAUUAUGUGUUGUAGUAAAAAAGAUGAGCCGAAAUUACAAUGAUAAAUUUAGUAGCUCGUCAUAUCAGCUUGCUCAUACUGAUGUACAUACUUGACGCGCAUAAAUGAUCAAUUUCCGUUUUAAAUUACUGAGCAUAGCAUAUAAUGCGUCAUUUAAAACUGUGUCUAGUGUUAUCCAGGCAAAUCUUUGCAAAUUUUCUCAUAUUAACACAUUCAGAACGCUCAUUCCUGCCAGAAUAAAUAAAACUUAUUUAUUUUGUUCAUUAUAUUACUCAUCAUUAUGGUUGUUAUUAUCAAGAAAUACAAUACUAUCGAUAUCUGACAUACCAAAGAUAUCCAGCGAUAGAAUUUAUAUUAUCAGAUUAUUUAUCGUUCAACUUAAAUAUAAAUAUACUAUCAACAUACAUACUGUCAACUUGAUUUACUAACUUUUACCAAAAUUUAUUAGUCUGGGUAUCUGAUUGCGAGCCAGACACUCAUCACCAAUUACAAAUGUCUACGCUAUUUAAAUCCAGGAAGAUUAAAAAUAACCAGAGAAAGUUUUAAAAAAAUAUCAUUUUAACGGAAGGGUUGAGCGCGACGAUCACGAGUUAUGUAACGACUGCACCCACUAAAAAAUAAUAUCCAAAUAAUUGGACCGUGAAAUUUAAUACAAUUCUAACGUAAUAGUGCUUUACAAAACCAGCAAAAAAAAAAUCCACAAAAUUGAAGAAAUAAAAAACCGAAUUUGAAAAAUGAAGCAAACAAGAAAAAGAUUUGUAAAAAAAAAUAAGAGUAAAAAUAAACUCACCCUUGCAGCUGAAUGAAAAGAAUACAGAAGAACAAGCUUAGUAGCAGAGAUGCAGGAAGAGAAUAGAAACUUCAAGUUUAGUUAUUAUUGAUAAAUAAUUUAAUAUAUAAAUAUUAAAUAUAUAUGUGUAGAGGAACACGGAUCGGAACGAAA